UGUGGGAUUUACAUAAACGUGUUUUAUCCCACAGAGCUAGGGCCGCCUCCGUCACAUUUUCCUCCACCACCACCACCACCUUCACCAUCUCCACCGCCACCUUCACCGUCUCCACCACCGCCUCUGCCAAGGCAACGCUGCUAUACGCAACUAUGCAAGGCAGGAGAAGAAUGUUGCUGUUACUGGGCUCCAUGUAAGUUCUUCCACAUUUGUUGCCCAAAAGGCAAGUGUGGAAUUACCAUCUUUUACCCAUGCAAACUUAUAUGAAAAGGGGCUUUGAGCAAUAAACACAGCUGCUAGCCAUGAAACAUUGGCUUCCAGAGCUUCCCAAGCUGGUCCUAGACAAGUUCUCCAAACAGUGUGUGGAGUAUUACUUGCAAUUGAGGAAUGGCCACACAUUGUAGUGGCUCACCAGCAUAGUGGUUUCGUGCACAAAGCCUAGCACUGUCAAAAUGGACGGCUCUUUUGUUGAAGUAUACACUCUCUAUAACAUGAUCUUAGGUGGCAGUAGUGCCAUUUCACUGAUCCAAGUGUAGGCUAGAGGUGUGUCUCUUGACCAUGUAUAUAUAUCUAUAAUAUUAUAUAUGACUAUCCUUCGAGUCAUCCUUGUCCAUCGUAGCUUCUGCAUUUCUCUUCACCUUUCAACCGUGUGCAAAAUUAACAAAAUCAGUACUUGAACUCGCUUUUGCUAGCAUGCCAAUUGGUUUGUUCUUUAACCAGAAUUUGCUAAAGAGGUAAGAUUUAUCAAGCUGCAGCUCGUGUUUCCAAGGAGGAUGGCAUUGCAAAUAUGAAGAAGGCUCGUUUUGCUCCAAUAUUUUUGCAGCAAAGGUGAGUAGAUUGUGUGUUUCCUUUGAGCUUUUUGGUUGUCAUUCUGAUUGAUCUCUAGAAGUAUAACUUCAACAAAAAGCUUAAAAGAUGAACUACUUUUCUGCGAAGUAUUCAAAGGACUCGUCUGGUACGUAUCCAGAUGGGGAAUACAUCCAUGGUCUGUUGUACUUGCCUCGCGAGGAGUUUAUGCUGCCGAACGUGAGAAUGUGUGGCUCCGGUUUAUGCGACUCUUCUUCCAGAGCUUGAUCCGAAUCGUUGCUGGAGACAGUGCUCUAGCCUGGACCGAGAAGGACGUUCGCAACAUUAUCAAUGCCAGGAUCAAAGCUGCAUUUUUUGGCAUGUAUCCAGCUUCGUCUGUCGAUCUUGUGAUAUCUUGUUGCGAUCUAAGAAGUAAGCAGCGAAAGAUUGAUGUCCUUCCCAGCAAACACAACCACAGUUGUUUUGUUGCAAGAAACCAUUCGUUCGAGUGCUUGAGGAAGUGGCGACUGCUAUUGCUGGUGACAAGAUUGGGGACAACAAAUCCCUGGAUCCGGAUGCUUUGCGUGCUGCCAUGGAAGAGAUUAUUGACACAUCACUGGACGCUGCAGUGUAAGUCUCAACAAUUCUAUUGAAUUCAUGAGUGCGUUUCCUUGUGUAUCCAAGCAGUUCUUACAGAGCUGGAGGAAUCAUGGUGCAUGGAGCGUUAACGCUGGACCUUUACAAAAUCAUAAAACCAAAUACUACUCCAAGGGUUGCUAUAUCACCUCAUGAAGUUUAUGAAAUGAUAAUGCAUUAUCAAAGUGGAACGCCAAGGUUAGCUGGAGGCGAUGAUGAUCAUCUUGAGAGCUUACUAGCUGACGCUGAAGUAAAUCUUAUUCUUUCCACAUUUUUGGAACCUUGUGGCUCUGAUUAAUUAUCUUUCAUCUUUUUUGUUUUGUCUUAAAUGUGUCGGCAGGACUAUUGAUGACUCUGAUGAAACUCAAACCGAGCAUGGCUUCCGACGACUUCAAGGAUUAAGGACUCUGGUUACGGUUUUGAGAGUGGAAUGUACAUCGGUAAGUCUUGAAGUUUGGAAUGUUUAACUCUUUAACCAGAAUACUGCUACCAGAGAUGAGAUAUAUCAAGCUGGAGCUUGUGUUUCCAAGAAGGAUGGCAUUGCAAAUAUGAGAAAUGGUUGUUUUGCUCCGAUCAUUCUCCAAGCUUGGUAUAUGGUCAAAGUGGAGAAACAAUCGAGUUGAUAAAGUGUGAACUCUCACAUCCGGCAGCAUUCCCAUGGACGUACUCCCCGUCUGGAUACGAUUACAACGUGAAUAGAAAAUGAUCGCUCGAUAUCAUGGAAUAUGAUUUUUCAAAUAAUACGGAAAGGACAGUGGCUUAUUCUAUAGAACAUUUUGGUAAUUAAAUUCACGUUUAGCGAUUAGGUUAAGGCCAAAGCAUGUCGCGAGAGGAAUCCCAACCGUCCGUUGUCGACGUCCUUAUAUGAAUAGCUGGGUUUGUUCUUGCGAUGGCCGCAGCUCAUCUGGAUGUCGAUCUCACGCCACAAUCUCCCAAUGCGAGAUUCUGCGCCAACGAUGGCGGGAAUUACGAGUUUUGGCUCAGCGCCCACUCCAAGAUGUUGAAGGAAGCUCGGGUUGGGGUCGCCGAAAUCGCCGAUUCUAAUCAGAUCUUUUAUGUGCUCGAAGGUAAGCGAUUGAUUUUCUAGGAUGUGAAUUUUUUUCUCAUGCAUGCUAAAUUCCGGUCUUCGUCCAGGAAUGGUAAAGUAGGACUGACUUUUGCGGAGAGUCCCGGCGGAUGCGUCUGUUCCUCACGGCACUGUCAACUGGUGGUUUAACUCUGGCACUUCGAAGUUUAGUGUUUUGUGUCUCGGAGACACGAGCAAAAGCCUCAAAGCUGGAGAAUUCACUGUAAGUUCUUCUUGGAUUUUCUUUUUUUUUUUUUUUUUUGGUCUUGUUGUGACACACUGAUAAAUCAAUCCGCUUGUAGGAUUUCUUCCUGGUCGGUCCUGGUAGCGAUGGACUUCUCAAAGGUGUUACUCCGGACUUCAUCGCCCAAGCAUGGGAUGUCCCAGAAGAAACGGUGAAUACUUUGCUCCAUAGCCAGAAGGAGGAGAGGAUUGUUUUGCUCAAGGAAGGCAUUUCUAUGCCGGAGACAACCGAUUUGAGCAACUCUCCCUAUGGAGAGUUUGCUUACAACUGCGAGGAGGCAAAGCUCGACGUGGAUAUAAAAAACGGAGGCAGAGUUUCCGUUGUUUCCAGCGAUAGCUUGCCGAUCUUCAAGCACGUCGGUCUUGGCGCUGAUCUCGUCAAGCUUGAUCCGGUAAGUUUUAGCUGAUCACUUGGAUCUUAUAAUCACAUUCGUGAAUUUCUUACAGCAUGCGAUGUGCUCGCCAGGAUUUUCCUCCGACUCCGCGUACCAAGUCACUUACAUUGUCCGUGAAAGCUUUCGAGUCCAAGUCGUGAACUAAAAUGGCGAGAGAGUGAUCGAUCAUAUGCUGGAGCCCGGCUGCCUGUUUAUCGUCCCACGAUUCCACGUCGUCUCAAAGCGAGCAGGAGAAAAUGGAAUGGAAUGGUUCUCGAUCAUCACCACCGAGAAGUAAGUUUUCUCUUUUUUUUCCUUCAGAGGUUCUGAUCGACCCAAUUUUUUGCUGGAAAAACAGGCCAGUGUUCCCUCAUCUCGCUGGAAGAACUGGCGUGAUCAAGAGCUUGUCGCCCAAAACGAUUUGCGCGGCUUUUAACGUGGAAGAUGGAGUUGAGAAGGAGCUGCGUUCUCGCAGGACAAACGACGCCAUCUUCUUCCCACCCAAAUAAGAUGAGCCCACCUAGUCAAUGCAAGUCAAUACAGAGUCAACUCUGGCAAUGCGCAAUAAAAUUAUUCAAAGCUCAUUGAUUCCAAAUAAAUUCUAGGGUUUAUCAUCGCAUCGCAUCGCGCGCGCGAGGGCGCUGCUUCGCCCUGGCCGAUCCGGUAAGCUGCCAGAAUGAGAUUCUCGGCAAUGUAGAACGGAGUUCAGGACCUGAUUUCUAGCAUCGAGGAUUGCCAAACUCUAGAACAAUCUGGAUGGAAAGAACGGGAGCAAACACUCUCUUCACGAUGUCUCGAAUCAAUGAAAGAAAAAUUUCGAAGGCUUUGAUGCUGGAAGGUAGAGCCAAACAUUUUUUAUCCUUGUGACAAAACCAUUCGCUAUGCUGUCCAGGACUUCGCUGGAUCCUAAAGUUCUCACAGCCGAUACGAAAACUUAUGCUAGUACCGGCAACGCUCAUCAGCUCGAGAGAAGCGCUUGCCUCGCGGCGCUAAAGUCGUGCUCCAGAGCUAGAGACGUCGAAAGUGGCCGGCAAAUCCACGCGAACGCGAGAGAAAGUGGUGUGGAUUCGGACUCUCACGUAGCCAGUAGCUUGGUGGCGAUGUACAUGAAGUGUGGGAGCGUGGUGGAAGCACAGCAGGCCUUCGACAGAAUUCCUCGCCCCGACGCAGUGUGCUGGAACGCUUUGAUCUCGGGCUAUGCGGAGAAUGGCGAGGCCGAGGUGGCCUUGCAGCUCUUUCGAUCGAUGCAACAGUGCUGCGGAGCAAACCCUCGAACUUUUGCCGCUGCGCUCGCUGCGUGCUCCACUCUCGCAGCUGCCGAAGAAGGCCGGAAAGUUGAUGGGAGGAUGGUGAAAGUUUUUUCGCUGCAACGAGGCAUGGAAGUUCAUCGUCAGGCCGAGGCUGCGAUGGGAAUAGAUGCUAUCCAUCGCAACGUCUACGUGGGGAAUGCUCUCAUCGACAUGUACGUGAAGUGCCGGAGCAUGGUGCGUGCUCAAGAGGUUUUCGACAGGAUGAAAACUCGGGAUGUGGUCUCGUGGAACGUAUUGAUGCUCGGCUACGCACAGAGUGGUGAGAACGAGGAGCUAGCUCUCGAGAUGUUUACGAAGAUGGUGUCGUCCCGAGGCUGUCAGCUCGAUAGCUGGAGUGUUGUCGCUGCUCUCAAGGCCUGUAGCAAUCUCGCAGCCAAGGAAGAAGCUCGGAAUGCACAGGAGAAGCUCAGGUUUCUAGUCACGGGUGUGGCGAUCCACGACACAGCCGAGAGACUGGGAUGUGACUCAAACAUAUUCGUGGCCAACGCUCUUCUCAACAUGUACGCAAACUGUGGAAGCAUGGUGGAUGCGAGGAGAGUUUUCGAUAAGAUGCAGCGCUGGGAUGUGGUUUCCUGGAACACGAUCAUCCUGGGCUAUGCUGAGAACGAUGAGGGAAAGAUGGCCCUUCAACUCUUUGGAGAUUUGCUACACUCUCGGUGCUGCGUACAGGACAGGCUGACUUUGGUGGCUGCGCUUAAGGCUUGUUGUACCCUCUCGACUCAAGAACAGGGAAGGCAAGUCGAUGGGAUCGUGAGGCAAGAUCGUGAAGCUGAGUUCGCUGGAAGCAGGAAUGGCGGUACACUCGCUGGUAUCAGAGCGAGGCUUUGAUCUGGAAGACUUGUACGUGGCAAACUGCUUGGUCGACAUGUAUGGGAAGUGUGGGAGCAUGGCCGAUUCUCGCAGAGUUUUCGACCGUGUGAAGCAUCGCGACGUUGUUAUCUGGAACGCAGUGAUCUCGGGAUACGCACAGAACGACGAAAGUGAGGCUGCUCUAGAGCUGUUUGAGGCUCUCUUGUGCGAAGGUGUUUCUCCAACCAGCUUGACAGUCGUCGCGGCUUUCAAGGCUUGUGGCAGUCUCGCAGCUAAGAACAAGGAAAGCGAUCGAAUGAGAGCAUUGGAAAUCACCAUGGCUGUUCAUCGUGAAGCUGUGACGAAGCUGGAAGCCUCCGAGUGGGACGCUUACAUGACGAGCAGCUUGAUCGAUGCGUACGCCAAGUGUGGGAGUCUGGCGGAUUCCAGCAAAGUUUUCUCGAGCGAUACCGGCCAGCUUCGCAACGUGGUCUCGUGGAACGUCUUGAUCCUGGGCUUCGCGGAGAACGCCGAUGCUAGACGGGCUUUGAGGCUGUUCCACAGGAUGAGACGCGAAGGCUGCCGACGAAACGCAUCAACGUACGUCGCGGUACUGAAAGCUUGCAGCAACAGUAUUCCUUCGAGUCUAGGCUUUGGGAGCGAAGUCAAGGCUCUGAUCUACCGUGGAGGCUUUGAGGAAGAUGGAGAUUUGGCUGGAUCCCUGGUUGACUUUCACGGCAAAGCGGGAGACAUGGUUUCCGCUCGCCAGGUAUUUGACUCGCUACCGGGAGAUGGUGACGAGGCCUUGAGUGCGCUGAUCACCGGAUACGGCAGGCAAGGGGACGCAAGCCAAGCGCUGAUGCUGUUUCACGAGAUGGUAAACUCUGGCAUCAAACCGAAUGGUAUCACAGCUCUCGCAGUUCUAACCAGCUGCAGGGAAGAAGUUCUUCCACGAAAUGCCAUCCAGAUACGGCAUCGUCCCCGAAGUGGAACACUUCCACUGCGUUGUCGAUCUUCUCAGCAGAGCUAACCAGCGGGUUCAAGGUAUGACAAAGCGCUGGAACUUUGAAGCUAACGAAGUAACUUGGACUACCAUUACAGGGGAAUCCAGGAGUGGAGACGCUACGCUUGUCGCGAAGCAAGAAUGGCCGUCGUGAUGCGUGAAAGCUCUCCCGUUUCGUUUCAUGUCUCCCAUUCUUCAGAGUCUUCAAGCAUUAUGUCGGACAAAUUCUGCUGAAAAUGCGAGGUUUUUUUUUUUUGUCAGCAUCUUCUAAACAACAAAAAUGUGAAAAACUUGCUAGCGUAGCCCUAGCAUAGAAUCAAAUAUAUGUUUAGCUUCUUCUAAAGGUAUAUGUAUUAAUCAUAUACGGCAACGGAUUUGGCGAAAGCCAUGUCCAAGUAUAUGAGCACCUCACAUUUGCUUGAGGCAAACCCAUUGCAAAGUAGAGACCCGAAAAAGUGCUGCAGAGUUCCAGAUUCUCUUUUGCUUUUUUUAAUGUUACAGCUUGAUGCCCUAAAUAACCAUUUGACAUAUUUUCAAUAACACAACAAAGUUUUAUUUGUAUAUAGAUAAAAAUGAAGAAUAUUUUAAGAAUAUAUACGGCUAGUAUACCUCAGCAAAUUUAACAAACGAGUGAUUUGACUCUUGAGAUUGUCCUUGUUAUAUUAAACAUUCAAAUCCUUAUUAAUCAAUCUACUGCUGCAGCUAUUGAAGAAGCAAGAAGAGAGCUAAAAGAGGACAAAUGAUUUUUCAUCUAAAAUUUAUUAUGGAGGUACUAUUUAAUACACUAAAAAGGUCAGUACGAUAAAUUGUCUAUUAGACAAGAAAUUUAGUCAAUAUUAUUCUGUGUAGGUCUAAAAAAAACUUAUUUACUAACAAGAUAGUGAUAGUUGGUAGCUGUCAAGAGAGACUUUUCCAUGAUUUGGCCUUGAUCUAUAGCAAUGAAUAUGCAUGCAUUAUGUAUUUACACAUUUGUAGAUCAAAAUGUGAUAUAUGAAUUGUCAUGGAAUAUGCCAUGUAUGCAUGGGGCAUGACACUUCAGAUUGCCAUGCAAAAUUAAUGCCAUGUCAUCUUAGACAACAUAACAUCACUAAUUUAAAAUUUAACAGGUUUCUUUUCCUCAUUCUUAUGUUAUUAAAUAGAAAUUUAUGAUUUCCUAAUUAUGACCACCUCUCUCCUCCUUUGUAUUUACCUCUUAUUUUGUGCAACUAUACUUUAUUUCUCACGGUUUGGAAGUGUAUUUCAAUUUUAAUGUGCUCUAAUAGAAGCACCAUGUUUUGAUUGCUCUUACAAAUGCCUCUUAUUUCUUGCAGCUUGUUUGCAACGUGAUGCACUAAUUUAAGUAGUGAUUGAUUGACACUAAGGUGGGCACAAUCAAUUGGAGUGCAAAAGCAAGCAUAAAUCUUUUCUUUGGGUGCUGAGGGUGUUGAGCAUAAUGGCUUUUUAACAAGCAAGUGAAUCAUGUUGUAGUUUUGGUUCUAUCAAUUUUUUGUGUUUUUAAUCAUGUGUGUAGGUUUUAGCAUUAUAAUGGUUCGUUAUGUUUAGAUAUGUUGCAAAGUAAUAGUGUAAACCUUUAUUUUUUAACUUUAUGGUUUUUGUAGUGAUUGUGUUGAGGAGCAAGGAGCAUUGCAACAUAACAUUUGCACAUAAGUAAAUAAACAAUUUGUGUCCAUUUCUUUUCAAUGCAUGUCCUAAUUGCAUUUUUUGCUAGACUGCCUACCCUAGGUAUACCUCCUCCAAAACAUUGCCAUCACAAAUUUCUUGUCAUAUUGAUCUGCAAGGAAAAAAUGAAAAAAAUGAACUUGGAGGAGUAAUUAUUAUUAAUAUUUAAUAAUUGAAAUAUAAGAUAAUAAUAGUUGUAUAUUUUAUUAUUAUAAAUAACAUAAAACAUGAUUUGAAGUUUCUAAUGCCUAUAGAAUUUUAUUUGGAUAUCUAGUUUCAUAGAGAACCAUAUUACAAUUAUUUUGGACAGAAAAUAUUGUUGAUAGCGAACAUUGGUUGAUUUAAGCAAUAUGUGUUAGUAGCCCAUAAAAAAAUUUUACCAUGAUAAAAAACUAGAUUAAAAUCAUGUUGUAAAACUAAAAUACAAUUAUAUAUGAACUCUUUAUUGUUCUGAUUGUGAUUUCAAGGGAUCCUUUAAUUUAUGGCAUUUUCGUGAAUUAAUUCCUUAUAGUGGUGUUUCAGCAUUUCUAUCCAAAAUGAAUUUUCUUAGAUAAUAGUUCCAUAUUUAUAGCUGAGGCAUUUUAAGUUUUAACAUCUCAGCUAGGGAUAUAUCAUUAGAGUGCAAUUUCCACCUAGGAAUCAUAGUGCAAAUUGUUCUUCUCCUUGUGGCCAUCUUCGAGCUUUUGGAGUUUGUUCUCCUCUUGAUGAGUAGGAAGAAAGGACACACACAAGUUAGACACACAAGUGCAAGAGAAUUUUUUUCAGAUACCUUGAUUGAAGAAUUGUUAAGGUACUCCCAUGCCAUAGGAUUUGAUAGGAUAUCCAUAGGAUAGGACAAAAGAAAAACAUAAAGUGAGAAUUGUAGUAUUUGCGCUCUUGUUGCAAGAUCUCAAGUUCUUCUCACCAUCUUUCAACUUUGUUUCUGACAUAUGAAGUGUGCAAGUAACCCUAGGUGUGGAACAGACAUACUUCUCAAGGAUGAGGUGCAAUAUAAAUACUACGAAGCCAUUCAACUAUACAGGUGGUAUGUAUCAUUUGAAACUCAAAGCCAGCAUUCCAAAGUGAAUCACUAGUGUGUCUUGACAACUCCAUAGUGGUGUCGAUAAUCUGAGAUAGCAUCAGCUGGAGUACUAGUGAGUAGACUAUAAUUUCCUAUUGUCUUUUUGACACACCCCAGCCUCCGGCAUUUGGCUUUGUCAACCUUUGAAAAGUCAAUGAUCACAUUUCAUUCUUUCUCACAAGAAAAAACUUUCAAUCACCUCUUCAGAGCUGAGCAAGAUAUGUGAGCCCAUUGGAGUUGUGAGCAUCACUUCGCAAGAAGAACUUAGCUUUCAAAAGCAAGAGGAUCAAUGCUGCAAAAUCAUGCAUUAGAGUUCUAGCGUGAUGCUUGAGCAUUUCCUUGUCAACCGGAGGAACAACACCAUCUAUAGCCUCUUCUUGUCAUCAUACUUCACCUGAUUUACAGGUUUUUACAUUGAAUCCAUCAGUUCGAGGAAGAACAAUAGCAAAACUGCAUAGAAUUCAAAAGAGUGAAAGCAAACACUUUGGUAUGCCAAAAGAAUUAAAAAAAGGUAUAAAUGAAUCCAUCAGUUCAAGGAAAAACAACAUCAAAGCCUAUGAAAGAAAAGAAAAGUUCUAAGAAAUCUAAAUGCCAAAAAGAGUGAAAUCAAACACUUUGGUAUGCCAAAAGCAUUCUAGAACAAGUAAAGGUAAAUGCCACAAACUAAAAAAAGAGCUCGUAAAACCCACUAGAAAAAAUAAUUUAUUAAUAAAUUGUUAUGUGUUGCAUGUAGUAAUGCUUGGUUUGCUUAAUAAUAUGAUAGAAUAAAAAAGAAUAUACUAGAAUGGGUUUAAGAAAGUAUAUAAAUUAUAAACAUGUUUAUAAAUUAUAAAUACAAGAUAAUCUAAAUGAAUAGCAACCAUUAGAUGGUAGAAUAUCCUAGAAUAUUCAAGUAUAUUCUAGAUAUAUCCACUACCAUCUCAAUUAGGUUUGCUUAAGCAAAGCAAAAAGUAAAUUUUAGCCAUCCCAAAGACAAAGUAAAGGAAGAGAAAACAAAGAGAGAAAGGAAGAACACCAAAAUGCCAUUUCAGGCAAAUGCUGUAAGGAAGGGAAUAGAAGCAAAUAUUUAUUCCUGGGUGGGAGAGGAGGCAAAACACAUCCUCAUUUGCAUGGUUGGGUAUUUGUUGCAAAUCUCUAUACAUUUCUCAUACAUGGUGUUCACAUUGGCGAAAUGAAGCACAUUAAUGCAGCCAUGGACCUUGCAAUUGGAAAUCCUUCCACUGACUUUAAUUCACCUUGCCAAUCAUGACUUAGAAGUGUAGGCAUCCAUUCUCCCAGGGCUGGAGGCUAAACAUGCUCUUCUGAUCCUCCUUGUAGAAGCUGCUGGUGGCUUGGAGCUUGAUCUAGGAUGUUGGGUCACCAUUUGGAUGUAUUACGAAGGCAAUGGAGAAGCAUUGAUCCAACACUGACCACUACCAUACAGAUUUUGCAUCCAUUCUAUGUCUAGUGACUUAUAUAACAUUUAGGAACCAAGGGUUAAUGACAUUAACAACAAUUUAAUUUUGGCAUUAUAGAAUAGAAUAGAAUAAAGGGAAAAUUACAUUUAUACCCCUCAUUUGAAAAAUUACAAAUUUGAUCCUACCUGUUACAGGAUUCGAACACUUGACUUAUGUUGUAUGUUUAACAUUUAGAGUCAACUAGAUAAUUAUGGCAACAAAUAUGUAAAAGAAUUAUAUAUUUACAUAUAUAUAUGGAGGUUUUUUUUUAGUUGAUGCAAAAAUAUUACACAAAUACUUUUUAAUUAUUAUGUAAGCAAUCAAAACAUGUUUGUAUGUACAAUAUUUUCUUUAUGGUGUAUAUCAUCUAUAUAUAUAAAGCAUAAUACCUUAGAUUACCAAGUGUAUCUCAUUUCACACAGCUGUAGCUUAUUUUUUGUGUUUUGUAGGCAUAUUUUGAUUGCAAUGAGUGAUAUAAAAAAUCUCAAGAGGUUAUUCAAGUGAAUUAUUCAAACCCAAAAAGCGUUAAUCCCAAAUAUCCUAAACAUUUAACCAAUUGGAAAAAAUAUGCAUUUUUGUUUAUGAACACUUUCUUUUUAUAUUUGAAUCUUUAUAGAUUGUCUUUUGAAUUUUUUUCUUUGGUUGCUUACAUAUAACAAUAAGGGCAAAACAUUUCUUUGGAUGUUGCGUUAGUUUUGCUACAAACAAGUUGCAACCAUGAUAAAUUGUUAGUUUUAUUGAUUUUUCACAUAUAUUAAAUUUUUUAACAUAGUAAUGAUUUAUUGCGUUUAGGAAAAACACUUAUCAUUAUUUUCACCAAAGAAAUAGCCCCAAAUAGAAAUUUUAGCUUAUAACAUCUAAAAUGCACUCAAAAUCUAACUCACAUGCUAUAAAAUAUUAUGAGGUACUUGAGACAUUAAACACACUUAUUAUUCAAACAAAAGAACUUACAUCCAUGUAAACACAUUUCAAUCAAAGCCAAACAAAACACUAUUUACUUUAAGCACACUCCAAAAGAUGCUAUUAAACACAAAAUUUAGGUGAAGUUUAAUUUAACCCAUUGCUUCCUGAAAUUCUUGAAAUCUUAGAAUUCUCUAUAUAUGCUAUAGUUCUACCAUCUCACAUCACUACCCUAACCACCUCUUUAAUCACGAGUUAAUGUGAUAUAUGCAGGAAUGGCUAGACUUUAUAUAUUUUAAGUCUAAUAUAAAUUUAAAAAGAAUAAUUUUCUCUUUAUAACUAUGAAGAAUAAAUAGCUAUAAAGAGGGAGGAUUUGACUGAAGAAUUCAAGGAGGAUACCAUUAUUGAAGUCAUAUUAUUUCAUUUUUAUUAUAAUAUUUAAAUUUAAUAUAAAUCAAAUUCCACGUUUAUAAUAUAAAACUAAAAUCUAAAAUUUUUAAAGUUUUAAUAAUAGAUGAAACACAUUAAAUGUAAGUUAUUAUUUAUUAUACAUGCAUAUUCUAUAAGAAGCAUUAUAUCACAUAUAUAUAGACACACACACUUAAAUAUAGCAUAAAUUAAAUUUUUCAGCCUUAAGGUAUCUCAAAAUAGGUAAAGUAAAAAUUGAAUAUAUUAGCAAGUCCACUGGCUCUAUGACUGCAGUCCACAUCGGUUUUUAUGUACAUCCAAUUUCUAUGCACAUAGGCCAAGCAGCCAAAUCUGGAGAACUCAAGAGGUAUUCCUCCAGUAGGUUGUAUUAAGGCUCACACUUCUCAUACUCUCUGACUUGAUUGAGAUCCAGAAAUAACCCUCUGUGCGUCUUUUCCCUUGAAAGUGUGUUUUCGCAUUUUUUAAGUAAACAUUUUUUAUACAUUGUUUUUAGGUUUUUCUUUCAUAUGCUAAUGCUAUUUGGCACUCCCUGUCCCGUGAUGCCUUUAGAAGACGUUGGGUACAGUGCUUUAUAUGGGACCUUUACAGGGCCAUGCCUGUUCUUGAAGGAUGGAUCUUUGUUCCUGCUCAAGAUGGUCUCACCAACUUUGUCGAUAUCUUCUGCAAACCUGUCAAACGCCUCGAGUGCCUCUUCGUUGUCGGUCCAGAUAUCAAUAUGUCGCUGCCCAAUGUAUUCCUCGGUGUCGGCAUGGCCUGAUAAAACCUCUAUGGCGCUCAUCACUACAAACGACUCCAUCUUGUUUGAUAUCACUUUGAAAUAGUACUCUUCCGGAUUUCUUAAAAGCUUUCGGUGCUCCGUGGAUCCUUUUUCUGGAACUGGCAAGUGAGUUGCAGUGGGACGAUUUGGGAUGAACCCAGCAUAUGCAUAUUGACUGAAGUUAACAGCCGCAUGGUUUGCAGUCGUGAUCCAUAUGAAAGUUGUCAGUGCCACCGUCAGGCCCAGUUUGGAGUCCAUCUUGAACCAUGUCGGGUCGUCCUUCAGAUCGCCAUGCCCAACGUUCACCACCUCACUCCACCAAGCUUGGAGCUCGGCAUCGUUCUGAACUGUGGCAUCGUCUUUGUAGUGUACGUCCACAUAUUCCUGGGUCCAUUUCGUCAGCGCAGACCAUAUCUCGAGACCAUCUGCCGCAUAUGGAUAAUCCUCAAUGACGAGCUUCAUGCCGUGUUUUGCAGCAGGAUCUGGAACAGCCAUCCCUCUGUUUUGAAGAGACCAAUGUUAGAAGGAUGUAUAGUGCAAGGCCUUACCUUUUUAUAAGGUCUGCAGGGAGGCCUUCCAUGGCAAACUUCCACGACUUGUAGGCCUGAGACGUCAACUCCAUGCAAUACAUUUUCGGGGUGAAACCUUGCUCGGCAAUUCCUGACGCACUAAUAAGUACUUGCCUACCAAGUGCAUUGAUUUGCAAUGUGUACUUCAUGUGUGGCUUCAGGAAGGCAAAGAUCGGAUGAAGGGCACUCAGCUGCCUGUGCGCCGCAAUGAUAAACGGCUCCAUACAUGCAUGGCACUUGAGCCUGUAUACCUAAGUUAGUGAUACUCAGUUCGGGCCAAACUUUUCUCGCUCCAUACCAGUGGCCAACAAGCUGGUGAGCUCCUGAAUCGUUUGCUGCUGUGUGUGCUUUUGCGAGCUCCCACAAAUAGUCGGUCUCUCCUUCUUGGGGUGGGACGAGGACUCUCCUUGAACUGGGAGUGCUCAGCUCAAUGGCGAUGGGCUUGAGCGUUCCAUCCCCCCUGAGGAACAGGAAUGUCCUGGUUGCAUACAUGUAGAUGUCUGGGAUCUUGUUGAUCCUUUCAAUGUAAGGCAUGAAGAUGUCGUGAAGGUCCACCAAAAACAGUUUUUUGUUUGCGACUGCCUGCAAGCAUCCUCUUGAGAGACAUGUAAGUAACAAGUGACUUCACUGAUGAGAUCGCUUCAGACCUCUUGCACUGUCGUCCCCUCCAAGAAACGAGAGAUGUGUUCCUCUGUUACAGUUGAUUUCCUUGGGCCAUACUCAUCACCCAAGCCGCUGGUUGGAGGGAAUUCCUGAGUACAAGGCGAUGUUAAGAAUGUGAUGGAAACACCAUUGUUGUCUACCGUUAGGCAUUGUAUCAAGAUUGGAUGUGUUCCAGCCAGCAGUUGCCUCGCAUACUCCCGAUCAGAUCUCCAUGCCAGGCGAUCAGCUGACAACGGCGGAGAAGUUUAGAGAAGUGGACAUGUUAGUGGGUGCAUUACUUACUUUCUAGAACUGCAGGAAUGGGAAACUUGAGCAAGCUCUUAUUGGUGUGAUCAGUCGACAGAUCGUUGAGUAUGUCCAACGGCGAGUCUAUCCCUUCGAUUGCUCCCAAGGCCAGCUUCGACAGGUCAAACCCGCGGUCGUACAGGCUCUCCACGUCCUGAAACGAAUCAAAGUAUUUGUCCAAGAGCCCUCCAAACGAUGUUAGCAUGGGAAUAAACGUGUGAGAGAAGCUCUUGACGGUCUUCACAAGGACGCUGGCGGUCUUGGACGAGCUGUAAUACUCAUCACUGGGAAUGUAGAAAAACGGUAUAGGAAAUGGGUUCUGACCGCCUGGAUACGUUUCCUCUGUUGGUUUCACAAUCAAAAGCACAGUAUUAGAAAUGUAUCGAACUGUGGGUUACCUCCCAGAAGGCCUUGAAUGCGACCCGUACGACACCUUCGCGGGUAUGGCAUUUCCUUGGAUCCCCCCAGCUUUGGUCUCCCAAUGCCUCCCAAGUCAUUGUAAAUGUCAUAGUCGUAAAUCCUUUCCGAGUGUUGCCGGAUGCCCGUACCAUUGCCCUGGAGCUGCUUGAGGUCGGCUUCGCGGUAGGGUACUAGAGACGGCGGUGUGUCCUGUGGCAGGUACAGCUGCGAGAAACAAGAAAUUGUUGUAUACGUUUGUUUGCAAGCUUUCAGACAGAUUCUAUCCCUUACGUGGUUGCUGAAGAAGAUGCGAUUUGGCUUUGGGACCAAAUCGAAGCCACUGCUCCUGUACACCCACGAGUUGCAGGGGAACUGAACUUUGCUUCCCCUGGGCAUUCUGACGGACAGGGAGACGAAAUAGAUCUCAGAGCUGUGGUUGUUUUGAACCACGACUGCCCCAGGGGUACCAAAAUCAGCGUCCACUUCGAAGUUUAUGGUAUACUUUACUUCAUCCUUUGCAAGCAAGCUUGACGAGAGGGUCCAGUUCUCGAUGCGUGCGGGCUUGCUGAGUUUAGGCUCUGCAAGGGAAACAACGAAAGAUUAAUGAUCAUUUCCUCUCGGGCUUUUUAGUACUAACUUCCAUCACUUGAAGUUGAAGUGCUGCUGAUAAGCUGAAGGAUGACCUUGAGGCCAAUUGCCUCACUCACAGCAUCCGUGACUACUCCCAAAGGAUUCACAACAUCAAAACUAUUUUGCUUCUUUACCAAGAGAGAUCCUUUCAAGGUGAUUGCAUGGUUUGUUAGAUUGACUUUCUGUUGGAUAGUAGGAAAAUUUGAGGGGAUCAUAGAUGUUGUAGCUGAAACAAGUGCCGAUGGAAAAUCCAUGUGAGAAUAAAAGAAUUAAUUACACAGGUUGAAAGAGUUUGAGUUUCAAAUCAAAACCUCUAUAUGUUUUUAUACUAAGGAUUGCAUAUAAAAAACGUGUGCCUAGAAAAGGAAUUGUGCACAUGGAGGUCCCUCCCAAGUAUUGUUGUUUAGAACUUAUAUAUAAUGGCUUCAUGACUAUUCACCAAAAAUGUACGUGCAUUGAGACAUACAAACAUUGUUAUCACCCUAGUAUUGGUGGCCAGAUAUAUGCAAUCUUUGGCAUAAAACCAUAUCAAGGUUUCAAUUUAAAACUCAAGCCUUUUCAAUUUGUGCAAUUAAUUUUAUUCUCACCCUUGAUUUUCUAUUGGCACUUGUUUCGGCCACAAAAUCUAUGUUCAUCUCAGAUUUCUUUGCUAUCCAGCAUUUUUUAAAUUUUUUUACCCUUUUCCUAUAAUUCAAUUAGAUUGUCAACAGCGGACUACAUGAGUGGACAUUAUAAUUCAAAAUAACAAGAUAUAUACACCAACUUCUUUUAAUCUUGAGCCACACACACAUACGUUGUCUCCAAAAUAAACCAUUAAUUGUGACAUUGACGGAUGACCUUGAGGCCAAUUGCGUCACUCAUAUCAUCUAUGACUACUCCUAAAGGAUAAAAAUAUAAAGGUUUUAAUUUAAAACUCAAGCCUUUUCAAUUUGUGCAAUUAAUUUUAUUCUCACCCUUGAUUUUCUAUUGGCACUUGUUUCGGCCACAAAAUCUAUGUUCAUCUCAGAUUUCUUUGCUAUCCAGCAUUUUUUAAAUUUUUUUACCCUUUUCCUAUAAUUCAAUUAGAUUGUCAACAGCGGACUACAUGAGUGGACAUUAUAAUUCAAAAUAACAAGAUAUAUACACCAACUUCUUUUAAUCUUGAGCCACACACACAUACGUUGUCUCCAAAAUAAACCAUUAAUUGUGACAUUGACGGAUGACCUUGAGGCCAAUUGCGUCACUCAUAUCAUCUAUGACUACUCCUAAAGGAUAAAAAUAUAAAGGUUUUAAUUUAAAACUCAAGCCUUUUCAAUUUGUGCAAUUAAUUUUAUUCUCACCCUUGAUUUUCUAUUGGCACUUGUUUCGGCCACAAAAUCUAUGUUCAUCUCAGAUUUCUUUGCUAUCCAGCAUUUUUUAAAUUUUUUUACCCCUUUCCUAUAAUUCAAUUAGAUUGUCAACAGCGGACUACAUGAGUGGACAUUAUAAUUCAAAAUAACAAGAUAUAUACACCAACUUCUUUUAAUCUUGAGCCACACACACAUACGUUGUCUCCAAAAUAAACCAUUAAUUGUGACAUUGACGGAUGACCUUGAGGCCAAUUGCGUCACUCAUAUCAUCUAUGACUACUCCUAAAGGAUUCACAAUAUAAAAAUAUUUCACUUCUUUACAAAAAGAGAUCGUUUCAAGGUGAUUGCAUAGCUUAUUAGAUUGAUUUUCUGUUGGAUAACAAAAACAUUUGAGGGGAACAUAGAUAUUGUGGCUGAAACAAGUGCCAAUGCAAAAUCCAUAUGAGAAUAAAAGAAUUAAUUAUACAGGUUGAAAAAGUUUGAGUUUCAAAUCAAAACUUCUAUAUAUUUUUAUACUAAGGAUAUGUGCCUAGAAAAGGAAUUGUGCACAAGAUGCCCAAACUAGAGGUCCCUCCCAAGUACCGUUAUUUAGAACUUAUAUAUAAUGGCUUCAUGACUAUUCACCAAAGAUAUACACGCAUUGAAACAUACAAACAUUGUUAUUACCCUAGUACUUAGAAAAGGACAAACUAGAGGUCCCUCCCAAGUACCGUUAUUUAGAACUUAUAUAUAAUGGCUUCAUGACUAUUCACCAAAGAUGUACGUGCAUUGAGACAUACAAACAUUGUUAUCACCCUAGUACUAGUAGCCAGAUACAUACAAUCCUUAGUAUAAAAAAAUAUAAAGGUUCUAAUUUAAAACUCAAGCUCUUUCAAUUUGUGCAAUUAGUUUUAUGUGAGAGAGAGAGAGAGAGAGAGAGAGAGAGAGAGAGAGAGAGAUUUGUGUAGUAGUCCCUCCUGAGAAUUGUUAUGUGGAACUUAUAUAUAAUGCCUUGACAACUAUUCACCAGCAAUGUACCUGCAAUGAGACAUACUCAGGUUGUUAUCACCCUAGUACUCGGGUGAUAACAUACAUAUUAAUGCUAUUCAGAGAAGUGGGUGAUGAUUGGGUGCCCUAUCAAUUUGUAAGAGGCUUUUCUUCUGUCCAGUUAGGAGUGUUAAUGCUUUUUCAUAUCGCACAGUCAACUUCUCUCAAGCUUGAGCCAUACACAUUGUUAUCAUCCUCGUUGUCUCCAAGAUAAACCACUAAGUUUGUUGCUGUGAGUGAAGACAGUCAAUAUAAAUUCCUCUACUCUAAAACGGUGCACAUUGCAAAAUGGCUCCCUACCCCUACUUUCUCUUGCUGGUUUUCGUUUUGCAAGUGACUCAACAGUUCCAAUUCUCAGCCCUGGAGCUCCCAUCCGAGCAGCUUGUGAGGCCCCUCUUCGAUAGAUGGCGUCUCUAUCACAACAAGGGGUAUUCAUCCCAGGAGGAGGAGGCUAGAAGAUAUGAAAUCUUCAAGCAAAACCUCCAAAUGGUUUUAGAUCACAAUGCCAACAGUCUUGUGUCCUCAUACACCCUGGGCCUGAAUCAAUUUUCAGACAUCAGUAGUGACGAGUUUGAAACGAAAAUGUCCCUUGGUGUCAAUGACAUUAGGUUGCCUGUAGCCACAUCCUUUCUUGACGAUUUUGCUGAUGGUGACUCUAAAAGUCUCGAAUCUUUUGACUGGAGGGAGAGGGGUGCGAUCACUCCUAUUAAAAACGUUGGAUCCUGUCUGGGUAUGCUGAUGAAUUUCUUGUUUAAAUAAUAGUUUUCCUUGCAGGAGGUACUUGGGCUUUUGCAACAGGAGACUCACUCUCAAGUCUCAAUAAGAUACUCUUUGGAGGUCUAGCUAAUUUUUCAGCGCAGGAGUUUCUAGAUUGCACUAAGAAAGCCAAGGGAUGCAGAAGUGGCUCUCCCAGUGACGCUUUCGAAUACGCACGGACUCAUAGCAUUGCAGCAGCAGCUGAUUAUCCCUUUGUUGGGGAAGCUGGAGCUUGCAAGCACAAGGUAUGAAUUUAUUACAAUGCCGCUAUUAAAAGCUUUGCGAAUUUGCAGGAAAAACAAGGCAAAGUUUCUCUAAAAGAAUUUGAGAGCAUUGAAGGAACAGACAAAGCAAUCGAAAGAAACAUGUUGAAGGCAAUACACAAUCAGCCACUGACUGCUGUUAUCGAUGGCUCAAAGGCCGAGUUCAAGAGCUAUGCUGGAGUAAGUUUGUUCUAAUCCAAGUCUAUGAUCACAUUGACUAAUGACGUGCCUAAUCCGUCCUAGGGGAUUUACAAAGGACCCUGUGCCGAAUCUGGAAGUUUAUCAGUGCUGGUUGUGGGCUAUGGUUCCGAAAAUGGAGACAAAUAUUGGAUCAUAAAAAAUUCGUGGGGAACUGAGUGGGGGGAGAAUGGAUACAUGAAACUAGAACGCAAUUCGAAUAUCUUUGGUGGACGGUGUGGGAUUUACAUAAACGUGUUUUAUCCCACAGAGCUAGGGCCGCCUCCGUCACAUUUUCCUCCACCACCACCACCACCUUCACCAUCUCCACCGCCACCUUCACCGUCUCCACCACCGCCUCCGCCAAGGCAACGCUGCUAUACGCAACUAUGCAAGGCAGGAGAAGAAUGUUGCUG
rnacentral:lncRNA from 1 species